rnacentral:rRNA from 1 species
AUGGCGCCACCACCACCACCACCAUGUCAACUAUGCAAGUCAAGGUGCGCCAGCAGCCUUGCAACUGGCAAGCUGUUCGACAUCUACUUCCAGCCGAGUUUUCGUCAUGCGGCGACCGUCCCAUGCAAUGUGAGGUUGAAAUUCAACAAGCUGACAGGAGACACUAUGACAUUUGAGGCUCCUGGGGAGCCGUACACUAUGGAGGUCGAGAAAGGACGCAAUAUGUCGCAGAUUGGAGGCGAUGAAUGGGCCCGUUUCCUCGCCCGCAUGCGUCUUACUGGUGAUGAUGAAGAUGAUGAAGACGAUGAAGAUAAUGAGGACCCACUCGAUGAAGAUGAUGAGGACCCACUUCAUGAAGCCAUCGUAGCUCAAAGAAUGAGGCUGAGCGAGGAGGAGGUGCGCAACCUAUGGGACAUAAUUCCGCCACGUGAUGACUUUGUCGGGGUGCCAUUCGUGACCCGCCUGACAAGUACCAUGGUCGAUCGACAUGAUAUGAAAUUGCCAAAGAGCCUAUCUGUGAGUUGUGGUAUCGAGCCUGAUGAAGAAGGCUCAGCUGGACUAUGCCUUACCGCAAGGGGCUCCUUCACCACCUGUACUUACCGCAUGGACACGGACGGUCGCACACACUUAAACUCGGUUGGGUGGAAGAGAUUCCUCGUUGGCAAGAAUCUUCCUGUUGGACAGGCCAUCCUAAUUACUAUCAGGAACACCUGCCGCUCAGGCUUGAGGAUGAUGAUCGUCGUUAAUAUCAUCUAG